UUUCUUAUGGCUUACGGAGGAGGUACAAGGUGGAUUGGUAUUUCUGGUGUCUUUGAGGUUGGGGUGAAGUCAUGUAUUAUGGACCAGGUAAACGACAUGGUUUGCGAAGGGCUGAAGAGGGAAACCAUUCAGCCUGUUGAAAGUAGAGUGCAUAAAUAGGGUUGGAGCAAACGUCACUGGGUAGGAGGAGUAGAAAGUGGGGUUGAGCGGUAAAGAGGCGGCGAGAUUAAAAAGGAUCUCAAGUGCAGGGUAAGAUAGUUGGCUCCCUUUUGCUAACGAGUUAAAGUCCAUUGUGGGCUUUAAUCAUCUGAUCAGUGAUUAUAGUGUUUUUUUUAGGAAGAGCAGUCUGUAGAGUUUAGAAUGCAAAGAGACUAGCAAAUAGAAAAUCAUUAGCCUAUCAUGGUGAUUUAGACCAUGAUUAAAAAAAUGAUACAGGUAACCGCAAAGUAAAGGAAGGAUGGAUUCAAAGGUGAUUAUGAAGGUACUGGAUUUAUUAACUGAUCAGAGAUGGACGAUAUAAGUAAGAGUAGAUAAAAUUUCCAGGAACAAACUAAAGAAGGGCUCCGGAUGGUUCAUUUCAGGAGAGGUCUGCAUUUAAAGAUUGGCAGGAAAGGAGUUAAAGAAUGGCGAGCAGAGAGCUGACUUUUAGAUGGAUUUCUCUGCAUGUAUGUCAUGUAGUUUUGAAGCAGUGUUUUAUAUAUAGUCUUUGAAUUAAUUGGUUUGGCAGUUUUCUUUAUUUUUUAAAAAUAUUUUAUUUAUUCAUUUAUUUAUAGAGAGGGGAAGGGUGGGAAAAAGAGAGGGAAACAAACGUCAGUGUGUGGUUGCCUCUCAUGCACGCCCCCACUGGGGACCUGGCCUGUAACCCAGGCAUGUGCCCUAGACUGGGAACCUAACCCAAGAUCCUUCAGUUCUCAGGUCAGCACUCGAUCCACUGAGCCACACCAGCUAGGACCAGUUUUCUGAUAUAUGCUGUGUACCUUAAAACGAUUCUCAGACCUAAUUCUUAUGUGUAUGUGGCAGCUUCCCCACACCAACAGACAAACCUCAGACACCAGCAGCGUGUCUUGAGAAUUCAUCUCGAUUCUGACACAGUAUUACUUGGAGAUGAGUUCCAGAGGUUCAGGGUUCAGUCCCCCAAGACUGCCCUGCACUCACGCUGCCAGUCAGAUGCUAGGCUUAAGCCCAGGUUGUUACUGACCCGAUGACCAUCUGUAAGUCAGAAGUUCCCACAACCUCCUUGGAGUCUCUUAAUCUUUUAGCAUUGUUCACAGCACUCAGUCAGACCCAUUUAUUCACUACAUCACUGAUGUAUUACAAAGGAUAUUACAGGAUACAAGUCAACAGCCAGAUAAAAAGGCAUGUAGGGCGAGGUCCUGAAGGAAAGCACUUCUGUCCUGGAGCUUGGGGCGUGUGGAAGCAUUCUGGUUCCCCAUUGUGGU